GUUCUUUUCACUUUUUUUUGGGUUGCCUUUUCACCUUUUUUCUUUUGCAUAAAAAACUCCAGCCAGGACUGAUCCCAAGUAUGGCCGACGGUCUACUAGUCACAAGACAUUUGAGCCCUCAGUCGCGCAACAGUUUGAAACUAUGAACCCGAACCCGACACGAAUGUUUAUCAUUUCAUCGACGAAUAGACAAAUGUAUUCAACAAAAUGGAUUGGAGGGACAUGUAUGAGGAACAGUUAAGUGAAGAAUGCCAAGAAUGUCAACAUCUUGGUUCACUCGGGUAUAAUAACAAGAAUAACAUAAGAAAAUGCUAAUUUAGUUCGUUUUUGCAGAAGUUCUCGUUCCACGCUGUCUGUUCGUCGGGAAUCCAG